rnacentral:rRNA from 1 species
UACGUAGGGUGCAAGCGUUAAUCGGAAUUACUGGGCGUAAAGCGUGCGCAGGCGGUCAUGCAAGACAGAUGUGAAAUCCCCGGGCUCAACCUGGGAACUGCAUUUGUGACUGCAUCGCUAGAGUACGGCAGAGGGGGAUGGAAUUCCGCGUGUAGCAGUGAAAUGCGUAGAUAUGCGGAGGAACACCGAUGGCGAAGGCAAUCCCCUGGGCCUGUACUGACGCUCAUGCACGAAAGCGUGGGGAGCAAACAGG